rnacentral:lncRNA from 1 species
CCUUGGGCAAGUCGCUAUCUUUCCCUCCGCCUCAGUUUCCCUGCCCAGAGCAGGGCAACAGUGGGAAGCCCGAUUGUUCCUGAAAUACUUUCACCAAAUGCUUCACUCCUGGGAAUUCCCGUCACCUCCUACCGAGUCCGGGCGCCGCAGGUAGCCCCACCCUCCGCCAGGGCAAAUCGGAAGGGGCUCCGCGGUGGGGCCGCGACUCCCGGCCCCCGCCCCAACCGUGGGAGCUCUGCGCGCGACGCGUCCCAGGUGGCCCCGCUAUUGUUUUACCUUCCAGGGUGUUUAUUUCUCGCUGAUUGUAAAGAAAAGAGACCGGGGAAGAAGGGAGUCCGGGCUCCGCUUUCCGCUGCCGGAGCGCGCUCGCCGCGUGCCCGCCCAGCCAGGGGAGGGGUCUCGGGCCCGACCCCGAGCGGAGCUGGCGCGGGCCCGCUCCCCCUCCCUGCCUCCCUCUCCGGGGCCCCCGGAUCCCCUCGCUGCAGCCCUCUCCGGGCGCCGCCCGCGCCCGCCGAGCCUGACCUCGCCCGUGGCCCUCUCCCUCCGCGCGCGUCCGUCCGUCCGUCGGUCCGUCCGGGCGCACGCCUCAGGGGACGCGCCGCUUCCUCUUCUCCCGCAACGGCACCAGCAGCCGCGCUGCGCCCUCCCGAGUCCCCGCCCCUCCAGCUCCAGCCCGGCCAGCUGCACUCAGCUAGGCGAGCGCGGGGCCAGGGCGGCGGCCACGGAGAGCGACCCGGUCCCGCCCUCGGCCCCGCCCCGGAGACGCGAGUCCGGGCUCCGGGCCUGGCGGGGGGCACGCGAGUGGCCGGGAGCACCGGGGGCACCGGAGGACCUGGGCAGCGCUGGCGUGUGGGCCGAGGAGCCCGCAAAGUUAAUCAGGGCUUCACACCCAGACUCCGGGGCCGCCUGCGAGAUGUACAGGCCCUUCCCAAAGCCCAGCCGGCGACCCAUAACCUGGGAAGCCCGCGGCACAGAAGCUCGUCCUUUCUCCUGGAAACAAAAACAAAGCCCUUUGCUGGAGACUUGAAUCUGUUCAUGCAGUGGAACCCCAUAUUGCACUUCACUCUUGGAUAG